rnacentral:rRNA from 1 species
GAAAAGAAACUAACAAGGAUUCCCCUAGUAACGGCGAGUGAACCGGGAAGAGCUCAAAUUUGAAAUCUGGCGUCCUCAGGGCGUCCGAGUUGUAAUCUAUAGAGGCGUUUUCCGUGCCGGACCGUGUCCAAGUUCCUUGGAACAGGAUAUCAAAGAGGGUGACAAUCCCGUACUUGACACGACGACCGGUGCUCUGUGAUACGUCUUCUACGAGUCGAGUUGUUUGGGAAUGCAGCUCAAAAUGGGUGGUGAGUUCCAUCUAAAGCUAAAUAUUGGCGAGAGACCGAUAGCGAACAAGUACCGUGAGGGAAAGAUGAAAAGCACUUUGGAAAGAGAGUUAAACAGUACGUGAAAUUGUUGAAAGGGAAACGAUUGAAGUCAGUCGUGACCGAGAGGCUCAGCCGGUUCUGCCGGUGUAUUCCCCUCGGUCGGGUCAACAUCAGUUUUGUCCGGUGGAUAAGGGCGGUAGGAAGGUGGCACCCUCGGGUGUGUUAUAGCCUGCCGUCGCAUACAUCGGGUGAGACUGAGGAACGCAGCUCGCCUUUAUGGCCGGGGUUCGCCCACGUCCGAGCUUAGGAUGUUGACAUAAUGGCUUUAAACGACCCGUCU